AGCUGAAGAAUAUCAGAGGGACGUUGGUGGUAUCGUGGCCUGAGUUUGAUCCUUCUGUGGUGAGAUUUGUAGGUGCUUUACUGAAGAGCAUUGUCCCGAGUCUGGAUAUUAAAAGUGUGGACAAAGAUCUGGAGAAGUACUCUUCAAGAACUGGUCUUAAAAGGGAUGCUUGGCUUGACUCUGAUCUAUAUACAUGAUUCAGAGAUGGCUUCUCAAAAUAGUUGUUUCUUGUUUCUUAUGUAAUGGCUUUUAGCUUUUCUUGGACAAAACAGAGACCUUAGGUGUUGGUGUGUGGUGUCCUCAUUGCAAACAGUUUUGUUUCUUCUCUUUGGGAAAAAUGAUCAGCUGAGAUUAUUUUAAGUUUAUUAGAAACUUACAUUUGUCAGUUUCAGAGCUAAAUCGUAGUUUCAAAGAGUUAUCACAUUAUCAUUUUAGUAAUUUAUGAACUAUAGGUGUUCACCAAAAAUAGCAGAAGGUGUAAGUAAACCAUACCAAGAAACAGCUUGUGUACAAAUCUUGUUUAUUAACAUUCCAUAACAUUAGUAUUCAUUUGUUAUACAGGUAAGAUUCACAAAUAGAGCCUACACUUUUACAUCCUUAAUUGUCACAAUUUUCUAAUACAGUUUUAUCUUAAUAAAAAACAAACCCAAUGAUCAACAAGCAAAUACAUGCAAGGCUUAAACUGAAUUGUACCGCAAAUUUCUGGUUUUUUGUUCCUCCAUCAGAUGCUUCACCAAACAACAAAGAAAGUGAAAAGAAACCUAUCUUAGCUUACAGUCUGUAGAAUUCAAAAGAUUUCAUACAUAUUUUUUCUUUUCAAUGUUGAAAUUUUGGAUUUUACUUACGGUCAGAACUGCUAAAGGUAAGUGACGUUGGUUUAGGAUGAGUCUCGUUGCAGUCUUCCUCAGUUCCAGUUAGAGGUGUUCAAUCCGGAUAUUGGUUUGGUUUCGGUUUGGUUUUUUCGGUUUUUCGGUAUUUCGGUUAGAAAAUAUAACUACAAUUCUAAAUCCAUAUUUACUUCGGUUCGGAUUAUAUACCGUCUGUUUUCGGUUUAUUCGGUUUUAUACCAAAACAAAAUUAUUUAGUUUGGGAUCAUAUCAUAUAAAUUUUAGAGUCAUAUUGUCAUCGCCGCCAUUUAUUGAAAAAAUAUUAUAUUUUCAAAUAAAAGAACAAAAAAUAAAAACACUUAUACCUUCAGAUGAAAUAAUCAAAUCUAGAAUUAAAAUCAAAGCUCGAAAUUUUGAAAAUAAAAAUAAAAAACAAAAGAGAAAAGUAUGAAAGAAAAGUUUUUCCAUUCUUUCAUAUUUAGUGUUCAUCAAAGUCAUGCUUCUUCGAGUGAAACUCUGUUCGUUUAUAAAUAAGAAAAAAGUUGAGAAGGUUUUUUUCUAGUUAUUAUUCAUCAAAUUUAUAACCUUCACUUCAAUUUAAUCAAUGCUAAAAGAAAACAAAAUGAUUAAAAGAAGAAGACUAAGAAAUAAGAAGCCUAAGUUGCGAUGAAUUGUUAUUUAAUUAUAUUUUAAGCGUUUUUCAAAUUAGGAUUCUUUAUUACUAUAAAAAAAUAUGGUAGUAUUUAUUAACAAAAAAUAACUCAUAUAACAAAUAGAUUUUCAUGUGACGUUAUAAAAUAUGUACAUAUUUGCAUGUUUCUACUUUUGAUCGGUUUUGUUCGGUUUAUUCGGUUAUAAAUCAAACCAUAUCCAAAUCCUACGGUUUUUAUAAAAUCAUAUCCAUUCGGUUUAUAUGGUAUAUACCAAAACCACACCAUAUUGUCUAUUUUGGUUCGGUUCGGUUUUGUUCGGUUUUACCGUAUUGGACAUGCCUACUUCCAGUUGAACAAAUAUGAGGAUUGCCCAUUAAACUGCAUCACAAGUAGAUUAAAUGUUUAUUUUAAAAAUAUCUUUUACAUGCUUAGUAUACUUACUUAGUUAUGAUAACAUAUGAAUGUGCAUACGUUGCAAAAAAUGACAUCGUUUUUUUCUCUGAACAGAAUAAAACAGAACAGCCAAAUGUUCUUUUUAAUAAAUAGACUUUACUUGAAUGCGUUGGCAAGUAAUCUUGGAACUGGUCCACUCAAGUUAUUGUAAGACAGAUCGCCACAAACAUUAAUUAUGAAAUGUAUAAGGAAAUUUACAUAGAAGAAGAAAAAUAAACAGGAAAUAAAGAAAGAGAGUGUACAAAAGAAUUAGUUGGGUCAUAUUUGCCACUGAGGUAGGAAUUGUUCCUGUCAUAUUGUUAGAGAGAGAUCAAGUGUUUUGAGUUUCAUCAGUUUCCCAAUCUCAGGAGGGAUAUUUCCUGUGAUGUAAUUGUUCUGCAAUAGCCUUUUACAGUGUAUAUCCAAAAAAAAAUUAGAAAACUAAAAUAACAACAAAACUAAAUUAUUAAGAGAUGAACACUGACACAGUCUCAAGAUAUGUUAAAUUGCCAAUACUUGAUGAUGGAAGAGUUCCUGAAAAACUUUGGUUUGCAGCUUUUCUACAUACACAUAUAAUUAAAGACUGUAAGUAAACACAUGCUUAUAUUUUUGUAUUUAUGUGCUUACAUGCUUAUGACAAAAUUAUCAGGAGAGCAAGUGAUCAAGUUCCAGCUACAAGGAUCAGCUGAUGCCAUGUUCCAACUCAUUAGAACUCCAUGAGGAUCAGCCAGUGAGCUUUUGAUUUCGACUAGAGCAAGAACUAGGGACGAAACAACAAUAGAAAUAUUCUAUACUAAGAAAAGAAAAAAAGAUUUAGAAAGAAGAAGAUUUUGUCAUGAAUAUUGCCUUCAUAGUUAAAAACCGAUGUAAGCUCUGCAGAAGAAAGGAAGAGGAAAACGAUGCAGAAGAAGGUUGAAGAGAACAAAGCAUAACUCUUUUCUUUUCUUCUAAGCACCAUCUUCGUCUGAAGAAUAUCAGAGGUGUUAAUAUGCCUUGAAUCUGGAUUUUACAUCUAGGCAGUGGAUGUUACAUCACGUACAUCAUACCGACUCGGUUGCAUCAAGAGCGUUGCAUCAAGUUAUUAUGGAUCUUACAUCUGAUCGUGGGCUUAAGCCCAUGAGUCCGUUUAGUAUAGGGUUUUAGAUGCGAGAUGUUACUAUAUAUAUCUUGUAUUCGAAGUAACCCUGAACUUGCACUCUGUAAACUCAAUAUCGCCUCCAAUAAUAAGAUCUCUCUUUGCCCGUGGACGUAGCCAAGUUGGUGAACCACGUUAAAUCUCUGUGUCGUUGUUACAUCGUUUUUAUUCACCUGUUUCCGCAUCUGUUUCUUCUCACAAUUGUUACAACAAACUGGUAUCAGAGCUUCGGGUUGUGAUCUAGUGAGAAGAUGUCUGGAAUAAGAGCGAAGAUCGACAAGUUUGAUGGGAGAAAUAGCUUCAGUCUUUGGCAGAUUAAGAUGCAGGCGUUGUUGAAGCAACAAGGCAUCUGGGGACCAUUGUCAGAGAAGAAAUCUGAAGCAGCUGAUUUGGAGACUCUAGAAGAGAAGGCGUUCUCAACAAUUUUGUUGUGUCUAGCAGACGAGAUCAUCAUCGAAGUGUCGGAUGAGAAAACUGCUGCUAGUUUGUGGCAGAAGUUGGAGAGCUUGUACAUGACAAAAUCUCUAACGAACAAGCUACUUCUGAAGCAACGCCUCUUUGCCUUGCGUAUGCAAGAAGGUAUUGAGCUUCGCGACCAUCUUGACAAGUUAAAUUCGAUAUUACUGGAGCUGCGUAACAUCGAUGUUAAGGUGGAGGAUGAAGACGCUGCUCUAAUCCUGUUGGUAUCUUUGCCGAACUCUUUCGAGAACUUCGUGCAAUCGUUCAUUGUUGGCAAAGAUACAGUGAGACUGGAAGAAGUUAGGUCGGCGCUUCACAGUCGGGAAUUACGCCAUAAGGCAUCCAGCUCAGGGACAGACAAUCAAGCUUCGGGAUUGUUUGUCAUUGGUGUGAAGGGACAUGUGAACAAAAGGAAGUCGAAAGACAGAAAAUCGUUUCCAAGAGGUCCUAAGCCAACUGAUAUUUGCAACUAUUGCAAAGAGAAGGGACAUUGGAAGUCAGACUGUCCCAAGAAGAAGAAGGAGCAACAGUCUGGAUCUGCUGCAGUAGCUGAGGAUGAAGCCAAGUCUGAUAGUGACAUCGCUCUUGUUGUGCACGGACACACACACUCUUCUGAUGUGUGGGUUCUGGAUACAUGAGCAUCCUACCAUAUGACACCGAGGAGAGAGUGGUUUUUGAAGUACACAGAGGUAUUUGACGGCAAGAUUAAGAUGGCAAAUGAUUUUAUCUGCAAGAUUGCUAGGAUCGGCUCAAUCAAGCUCAGGACACAUAAUGGUAGAUUCUGCACAUUGAACGAGGUUAGGCAUGUUCCAUCAAUGACGAAGAAUUUGAUAUCCAUGAGUCUUCUGGACAGUAGAGGGUUCAAAUAUUCGGGUGGUGAUGGAGUUCUGAAUGUCUGCAAGGGUUCUGAUGUGAUUCUGAAGGGUUUCAUGAACGGUACUCUAUAUUUGCUGAAGGGUACUACCGUUACAGGUUCAGCAAAUGUUGCAUCACCAGAGAUCUCAGAGGAAGAUAUGACUAAGUUGUGGCAUAUGAGGCUUGGACAUAUGGGUGAACGUGGGAUGCAACUUCUGUCGAAGCAAGGUCUUCUCUGUGGUCACAAGACCAAGAGUCUAGAGUUCUGUGAGCACUGCGUAUUUGGGAAGCUGCAUCGAAAGAGCUUUCGCAAGGCAAUUCAUAGAACGAAAAGCACACUCGAUUACAUCCAUUCAGACUGUUGGGGUCCAUCUAGAGUAGAGUCACUGAAAGGUCACAUAUAUUUUGUGUCUAUGAUUGAUGAUUAUUCGAGGAAGACUUGGAUAAUUUUUAUGAAGCACAAAAGUGAAGCAUUCAGUAGCUUCAAGGAGUGGAAAAUAUUGGUGGAGAAUCAAACAGAGAAGAAGGUGAAGCGAUUUCGUACUGAUAACGGUCUGGAAUUCUGCUCAGCAGAGUUCAAUCAGUUUUGUAAGGAUGCGGGGAUUGCAAGGCAUCUUACAGUGAGAGAAACACCACAACAAAAUGGUGUAGCAGAACGAAUGAACCAGACAUUGCUAGAGAGAGCAAGGUGCAUGCUCUCGAAUGCUGGUCUGGAGAAGCGGUUUUGGGCUGAAGCAGUCAACACGGCUUGGUACUUGAUAAAUCUCUGUCCCCACACAGGCAUCGAGUGCAGGAUACCUUCUGAAGUGUGGUCAGGUAGAUCUGCUGAUUAUUCACUUCUAAGAGUGUUCGGUUGCACUGUUUACUAUCAUGUAAGUGAAGGUAAACUAGAGCCGAGAGCAAGGAAGGGAGUUUUUAUGGGCUACGGCGAUGGAGUCAAGGGAUACAAGGUCUAUGCACUUCAGGCUGCAGAGGAAGUGGAUACGUAUGAACCAUCCACUUACAUGGAAGCUGUUUCUUGUCCCGAGUAUGAGAAAUGGCAUGCAGCAAUGGGAGACGAAAUGGAGUCUCAUGAGAAGAAUCAUACAUGGGAUUUGGUCACAGUACCACCAGGGAGAAGAGUUGUUACAUGCAAGUGGAUCUACAAGAUUAAGGAUGGAGCAUUGCCGACAUAAGGAGUUAAGUAUAAAUCUCGGGUACUACAAUGAGAUAUUUUCACCAAGGGUCAGACAUACUUCCAUCAGAGUGUUGCUAGCGCUGGUAGCACGUCAGGACUUGGAGCUUGAGCAACUCGAUGUGAAGACUGCGUUUCUUCAUGGAGAGCUUGAGGAGGAGAUAUACAUGACUCAGCCGGAUGGUUUCCGAGUUCCUGGAAAAGAAGACUAUGUGUGUAAGCUUCGGAAGUCCCUUUAUGGACUUAAGCAGUCUCCCAGACAAUGGUACAAGAGAUUCGACAGCUAUAUGAUCAAGUUGGGCUACAUCAAAAGUCCUUAUGAUUGUUGUGUCUACAUGAGAAAAUUGAAAGAUGACACAUUCAUCUAUUUGGUGCUCUACGUGGAUGACAUGCUGAUAGCUGCAGAGAAGAUGUGUGACAUCAAGAAGCUGAAGGAGCUUCUGAGUUCUGAAUUUGAGAUGAAGGAUUUGGGUGCAGCAAAGAAGAUUCUAGGGAUGAAGAUCUUCAGAGAUAGGGUCCCCAGAUGCCUUGUUGCUUUAACCUGUUGAUUGUCAGAAUAAAUAAAAAGGCAAUCCAAGUCCCACAUCGAAUAUUAGACAGAAUAAAGUCUAAUAUAUAUAGCUGGUCCAAUUCCACUUAGUAUGAGGCCUUUUGGGAGUAACGACCCAAGAACAAAUCCGUGAGGGCUUAGGCCCAAAGCGGACAAUAUCAUACUAAGCGAGGGAUUGGAUAUCUGGUGACAUACAUCUACUCUAGUUGAGCUUCUGGCCUCCAGCACGGGCAUCCGGUCUGGCUCUAGUAGAGCAUCUGGCCCAGAAGUGCAUCUGGUCCGUCACAACAGAUUGGUAUCAGAGCCAAGGUUCUGUGGUCUUUGGUUUGAGGGGAGGAUUGUCAGAAUAAAUGAAAAGGCAAUCCAAGUCCCACAUCGGAUAUUAGACAGAAUAAAGUCUAAUAUAUAUAUAUGGUCCAAUUCCACUUAGUAUGAGGCCUUUUGGGAGUAACGACCAAAGAACAAAUCCGUGAGGGCUUAGGCCCAAAGCGAAUAAUAUCAUAUUAAGCGAGGGAUUGGACAUCUGGUGACGGACAUCUGCUCUAGUUGAGCGUCUGGCCUCCAGUACGGGCAUCCGGUCUGGCUGUAGUAGAGCAUCUGGCCCAGGAGUGCAUCUGGUCCGUUACAACAAGAGGGACGUUGGUGGUAACACCUGAGUUUGAUCCUUCUGUGGUGAGAUUUGUUGGUGGUUUGCUGAAGAGCAUUGUCCCGGGUUUGGAUAUUGCAAGUGUGGGCAAAGAUCUGGAGAUGUACUCUUAAAAAGGAUGCUUAUCUUUACUCUGAUCUAUAUACAUGAUUCAGAGAUCGCUUCUCAAAAUAGUUGUUUCUUGUUUCUUAUGUAAUGGCUUUUAGCUUUUCUUG
rnacentral:lncRNA from 1 species